rnacentral:sRNA from 1 species
CUGCUGUGGAGUGAUGUAGUGAAUAUGCGUAUCCACCCCGCCCGCCGUGAGAAUACGAUGCUGCCCGGCGAUGACCUCAGUCCCCGGGCCAAUGAGCAUGUCAACGCCGUCUUGGGUAUGGGGGUUUCCGGCUUUCCCCACCCCUACAAUCCUCCCGUUCUUGAUCCCCACAUCCGCCUUCAGGAUGCCCAACACAGGAUCAGCAACGAUGGUUCCAACAAUGACCGUAUCAAGGGCGUCAGUUGCUGCCGGGUCUUGUGCCAUUCCGUCAC